rnacentral:rRNA from 1 species
GAUGAACGCUGGCGGCGUGCCUAAUACAUGCAAGUUGAGCGCUGAAGGUUGGUACUUGUACCGACUGGAUGAGCAGCGAACGGGUGAGUAACGCGUGGGGAAUCUGCCUUUGAGCGGGGGACAACAUUUGGAAACGAAUGCUAAUACCGCAUAAAAACUUUAAACACAAGUUUUAAGUUUGAAAGAUGCAAUUGCAUCACUCAAAGAUGAUCCCGCGUUGUAUUAGCUAGUUGGUGAGGUAAAGGCUCACCAAGGCGAUGAUACAUAGCCGACCUGAGAGUGUGAUCGGCCACAUUGGGACUGAGACACGGCCCAAACUCCUACGGGAGGCAGCAGUAGGGAAUCUUCGGCAAUGGACGAAAGUCUGACCGAGCAACGCCGCUUGAGUGAAGAAGGUUUUCGGAUCGUAAAACUCUGUUGGUAGAGAAGGACGUUGGUGAGAGUGGAAAGCUCAUCAAGUGACGGUAACUACCCAGAAAGGGACGGCUAACUACGUGCCAGCCGCCGCGGUAAUAC